rnacentral:lncRNA from 1 species
UGGGCGGGACCUCUCCCUCCCUCCCUUCCCACUCCUCCACCUCCAAUCCUCCUCCCCGACCACAGUCCACAGCAGAACCCGUUGCCGUUGCAGCCGUAAGGGGGCUAUCGCGCUUGGUUUUUGGCGCUCUCCUGUGAGCCUCCGGCUGCAGCGUCGCAGAGAUGGGUUGUGCCCCGGUGGUGUGGGCCGCGGCGUGGUUGCUUGCUGCCGCGGUGGCAGGUUUCGCGGAUCCCGGCGGCCUCGAGCGCGCGUAAGUGCAGUAACGCCUGGGCCCUUCUACCCGCUUCCUACAUUCACGUGUCAGAUUGCGUGUGCGUUCAGUUGUUCGUCAUUGCGGUUAACUGUAGCUUCGGGCUGUUGAGCACUUGAUCAUCUUAUUUAUCUUAUCCUGUCCACAGACAGUGAUCUAACCAAAUGAGUCAUUUUUGCUGUUUGGAUGGAUGGUGAGCCCAUCUUAAGAGUGAACUAAAUAACCUGAGAGAAUGGGAGUGAAACAUGUCUGCAUUAGUCUUCUUCCGUUUAUUUCUACAUUUAAGUCAGAUGACAAAAGAGAGAGAGAGAGACAGAAACAUAGGUCAUUGCAACAAGAUAUAGUCUGUAAAAAGCUCAUUUCAGUUCCAGACUUUUGAUAACACAAACCUGCUGCCUUUUGCAUACCAAGCUCUGUCUCUUUUAUUGUAAAACACAAACCUGCUGAACCCAACACUAGUUGAUGACUGCAAGCUGAUGACUGCUGAUUUGAACACUACUAGCUGAACCAAACACUGUAUAAUGACUGCUGCUCUGAACUGUGCUAGCUGAUGACUCUUGAUCUAUGAACAUGAUAUUCAUCACUGGGUUGGAUUAUUCUUUAAAGGACAAUUUCGAGCAUCAUGAUAGUCUACUUGCUUGCAACACCUGCACAUACGAGGAACUUUCUGUUUCUUCUCCACACUGUCACCAGGCUUCUUUACCUUCUGACCAGGUUUUAUUCGUUUGCACCUACCCACAGAUUUGACUUCAUUAGGUGGCUGUAUAAUAACAUGGUUAGGAAUUGAACAACCAAUAAAGGACUCGAUCUCUUGAACUUGACUUGUCAUUCUCUCUGGAAGCAAUAUGGAAAGAUCUUCAUCAAAUGCAACAAUACUAUCCCGAAGUGUUUGUAACCCAUUGUUUGAUCCUUCGGCACGGUGAAUUAAUUCUUCAAUCUUGCUUCUAAUUUCAGAUGCCAACUUUGCAUUAGUUGUUUCUACAGCAUCCUUUGGAACUUCUUUCAACAUGUUUCCCUCUCCAUCGAAGACAUCAUCCUUAGUCACUAGUUUAGUCCAUCUCUUCAAAACAAACUGAUCUGGAAUUUUUUUAAGUGAUGGACAUUGUAAAACACGAAUUAGAUGGCAACAAGGAAUACCAUACAUCUCAAAGAACAUACAAGUGCAGUGCCCAUCGUUUGUUGUAAUAUUGAAACAGACCUCUCUCAUCUUUUUUCUUUCAUCAUUAACUGUUGAUAUUUUGUAGUCUCCCUCCCUUACAAUUGUCUCUAUGACACAAUUAUCCCGAGCAUUAAUAAUUUGUUUUUGUAGUUCAGAGAAAACAUUGAAAGUGAACACCUCACUCCCAUGCCUUUCUAAUGCCCAACUAGUCUGCAAAACAGGUGAUGUAUGCAGACUGGCAUUAUCAUUUUCCAAUUCUUGAUGCCUCUGUUCAUCCAUUGCAUUAACAAACCUGAUCCAAAAUUCAACCAAUGUAUUUUUGUAACCAAUGAAGCGGUUGAAAAAUGAGUUGGUACUUUCUGAUCUUGAGGUUGUGUUAAGAAUUCCAGCUAAAAACACAUGUCUAAAGAAAACUGGGACCCAUGAUGCACGGAUUUCAUAACGGAUUCUCAACCAAUCAUGACCUUGUAAACCAAAUUCAGAAAUAAUAGAAGCCCAUUGAUGCUCAAAUUCCUCUCGAGUUUCAGAUGCCCAUACACAUAAGUUGAUGCGUUGAUAAAGUAACUUGUUUUCCCUCAUUUGCGGCGGCAACUUUCCAGGAAGCUUUUGCAAAAUAUGCCACAUGCAUAAUCUAUGUGUGCUGCUAGGAAACACUAUAGAUAUUGCAUUCCUCAUGCUAUUGGCUUCAUCUGUUAUGAUGAGUCGUGGUGCAGCCCCUCCCAUUGCUCUCAAGAACGUACGAAACAACCAUGUGUAUGCCUCAGUUGUCUCGUUGCUUAACAAUGCAGCACCAAACAAAACACAUGACUUGUGAUGAUUGAUACCUGUGAAUGGUGUGAAUAUCAUGUUGUAGUGGUUGGUGUUGUAUGUUGAAUCAAAUGAGAGAAGAUCACCGAAAUGUGAGAAAUUCUUUCUGCAUGUGGGAUCUGCCCAAAAAACAUGUACAAGCCUUCCCUUUUCAUCAACCACAUAGUCAUAAUAAAAUGUAGGAUUUAAUUCAUUUUUUGAGGCAAGGUUGUCAAUGAACAUUUGAGCAUCUGAUGAUGUGAUACAACUUCUCAACUGCUUAUGAUAGUUUUGCAAAUCCCUCUUGUUGCACCCCACAUUCUCAAAUCCACCUUCGCUAAUACGAAGAUAUCUGUAUGCCCCACUUGUACCGAUGCCUCCCUUGUGGCAUGCCACUAAUGCACGCUUAGCCUUCUCAUUAACUUCUCUGUUCGACCUAAUCAAGUGGACCUUGUCUGGUGAAACAAGACUAUGUGUAUGUGAUUCCACAAAUAUCUCCACCCGAAACUUAUUAUCUUCAAUCAGCUUGACAGCUAGAACUGCUUCACAACCACACCUAGAAAUCUUUUGAAUACGUUUCGGUUUGCUGUCUACCUUUUUCUUAGACCUAUAUCCCUGUUUAGAACACAACCAUCUUUGCCAUCUUCUAACACCAUUCAAAUCUGUAUGUGGACCAAUACGAACUCCAAAACGAGCCUCUUUUGCAUAUCUUCUAUAAAAUUCCUCUGCAUCUUGCAAUCUUUCAAAAAUUUGUCCAACAAAUGGCUUCAUAGAUUCAUGUACUUCAGGAACAUGAGUAGCAUACUACAACAUUGAAAAGUUAUUAUCAAUUAAUCGCCACAUAGAACGUAUCGAGAUAUGCCACAAUUAAAUUUGUAAAAAAAAUUGCUCACCAUCAAGGGGGACAUGACUGUAUUCUUUUCAGGUGUUCCAAAAGGUGAAAUGAGAUGUGUGGUUCCUGCUGACGGGAUCCAUGUGGUUGUGCUUGAUGGGGUCAGGACCCAUGGGGCUAUGCUCGUUUGGGGCAGAUCGACGUCAACCAUGGCAUCACAGGUAGAAGAUCGAGG